rnacentral:tRNA from 1 species
GUAAAGUAGGAAAUUUUCACGACUAACUUGAAAUUAGUUGGAUUGCUUUAUAAAGCAAGCUUUAUU